GAUGAACGCUAGCUACAGGCUUAACACAUGCAAGUCGAGGGGUAACGAGAGGAAAGCUUGCUUUCCUUGUCGACGACCGGCGCACGGGUGAGUAACGCGUAUCCAACCUGCCCCCAACUAAGGAAUAACCUUGCGAAAGUAAGACUAAUACCUUAUAAUUUCCUCAGAUGUCAUCUGACGAGGAAUAAAGAUUUAUCGGUUGUGGAUGGGGAUGCGUCUGAUUAGCCUGUUGGCGGGGUAACGGCCCACCAAGGCAACGAUCAGUAGGGGUUCUGAGAGGAAGGUCCCCCACAUUGGAACUGAGACACGGUCCAAACUCCUACGGGAGGCAGCAGUGAGGAAUAUUGGUCAAUGGGCGAAAGCCUGAACCAGCCAAGUAGCGUGCAGGAUGACGGCCCUAUGGGUUGUAAACUGCUUUAUACAGGAAUAAAGUUAGCCACGUGUGGUUAUUUGUAGGUACUGUAUGAAUAAGGACCGGCUAAUUCCGUGCCAGCCGCCGCGGUAA
rnacentral:rRNA from 1 species